AUGGGGUGGCAGUCACAUGAUUGUGUGGAUGGUUUAAUGGUGAUAAUUCUUUCUCAUACAAGUUUCGUGUGUUUCGGACAACCUCUGCCUAAAAUCAAAAUGACCGUGAUCUAACUUCUAAAUAUUGGUCCACAAUUUAAUGUUGACCCAACUAUGAGAUGGAAUAUAUGUUAUUUGUAUUUCCUAUUAAAGUUUCCAUCAAAUCUAUGUAUUAGUAAAGUGUAAAACUGAAUUUGGCCGUCUGCAACU
rnacentral:lncRNA from 1 species